rnacentral:lncRNA from 1 species
CCGUUUUUCAAAGCAAAUAAAGAAGCAGGACUGUUUAUAUUCUAAAUAUAUUAUUUCCACUCUUGUUUGUCUAAAUGUCAUUAGAGGAGAUGCCUUAUCUGAUACCAUUCUCCUUCUGCUAGAAACAGCUAGCGUGUUUGUUUUUGGCAGACAGAGCUGCUCAGAGCAUCAGGACAAGCUGCAGGUGCUAUCAGAGAGCGUUUUACUUCAAGUGAUGACUGGCAUCAAGAGACGUAGCCGGGAUGUCCUUCCCUCUGCACGGCAAUCCGCCCUGACUGUGCCGCUCGUGCUGCCUCUUGUAAGCCGUGGAGCUGCUUGUGCUGGAGAGCCUUGGGCAGGCCCCUGCUGAGCGUGCCACAGGGAUGCUGCUACUUUAUAUAACUUCUACCCUGUACCCUAAAGGUAGCAAUAAAGCUGGGUAACUUAAUGUAACA